CCUAACUAGGGGCUGAACACACUACUGAUUGCUUGGAAGAAUACGCUGGAGUCAGAAAGACACAGUCCCUACCGCCAAGAAGUUCUGAGUCUGACGGAGGAGAGAUGUACAACAUAAUUACAGCUACUUUAUCUCUACAAUGCAACAUUAGAAAGGACUAGGGGACACUUCAGGAACGACGUCAUGAUUGACCAUCUUCAAAAAUGAAGGAAGCACAAGCUGAUGACUAUUCAAAGGCAAUCUUCUAUUUAGAGGAGGAAUAAGCCAGCACGUGCAUAACAGCAGUGGACUGCCCCAGCAACUCCUUGUAAGGAAACUUACUGCUCAAACUGCAAAGGGAAGUUGAUGAAGAUAUGUUUCACUGUCAUUCACCUAUAAAGGUAAAUACGACAGAGAAGGAAAUACUCUAACUUUCUACUGGCCAGCCUUGGUGAGGUAAGGGGCUCUUUAAAAGCUCUGUGCAAGGGAAAAGAAUUUUGUGGAAUUUGUAAUAGAUACAAAGUUCCAAGACCAGAUGUGCGCCCCUUGCCCUGUAGCUUCUGUAGAGUGGAAGGAUGAGUAAAGUCAUGUAAGUCCUCUUAGUCCCUUCUCCCCACAGAUGCCAGGCUAGUUUUACAGUCACCACACCAUCUGUUUGAGCCCUAGAGUCUUGGCCUAUGGCAGCUUCUAACUGGAACAUUUUAAACCCCUGCAGUUCAUUUUGCUAAAGAAUUGCUCUUCUGUCCAUUAAUUUAGAAAUUUGAGAUGUACUCAUUUCACUAUUUCAAUUAUCUUGGGCCCAGGCAUAUAUUUCUUUCAGAAUUACUUUCAUAAAAGUAAAUGGUGACUGGGAAAACGAAAACAUCCCUAUGUCUGAAUACGUGCUAGGAAGGAACAGUUUCUAAAGGAAAAAAAUCAUUAUGAUUGGAAAAUUAACAAUACACAACUUUUUUUAC